AAUGUAUCUAUUGUUGUUUUGUUUUCUCACUUUCUUUAAUAAACAAUGUGUGAAAGCCAAAAAACAGUGUUCUAUACUUAGAAUUAUGUACGGACAUUUUUUGAGAGGUGCGUGUAAAAGAAGUAAGUUUGCUGAGAACACCGCUUCAUCAGCGCAACACGCCGCGACCAGCACGAGAAACAGCACAAUAUUCAGGAGACCCAUAGUGACGGACUGCGCAGACUGACCGAGGGACCCUCGCUGCUAUUAAAGUAUAAAUUAUCGGUGACACCGCGACCCGGAAUGUGUUACCGAUAAACAGCGAAAUGGAACAUUGUUUAUUGUGACCAGAGCCCGGGGUGAGUGCGUGAGAUCGGUUAUUGUUGUAAUUAGCUAAUAUUCCUUGUUAUUAGUGUAAACAUGCUUUAUUAAUUAGA